UUGAGGUUGAUUUCAUUGCCUCUGUGUCUGUCAGUGAUAUUUAUUAGUUUAGCCAUAUUAUCGAUUGCAAUGCUAAUUCCUUUCGGUUUCAUCCUCCAGAUUGUAUAUAGAAUAUUAACAUUUACUUCCCUUUUAUGUGCUGGCAAUUAUUGUUUGUGUCACAGAGUUUAAUACUUUUAGUAGACUCAUAUAAAUAAAGAAAAUUCAAUUAUUUUGUUUAGUAGUCUACUGGUUUUAGAGCAUACUUAGACAUUGGAUGUUUUGUGGUCAUAUUCUCUUAUCCUAACAUUGUAAUCAUCUGGUUGAACAAAAUGCAUAAACUGUUUACAUCAAGAAGUCACAAGCUCACAACCAACACAAUCAAAUUCAUAAACUGUGGCAAAGCUUUAGCUCACAGUCAUGUACAUUACACCAUCACAUGUAUAUUACACCAUAAAGGCAAAUCGGCCAUAAACUGUUUACAUCAAGAAGCUAUAAACUGUUUACAUAUGGCAAAACUGUUUACAUAUGGCAAAACUGUUUACAUCAAGCAACCAUAAAAAGGUUUAGCAUCAGAAAAGGAUUAGCUUUCAGCUCAGUUUUGGCUUUCAGCUCCAUGCAGGUGCCAAUUUCAAGCAUCUUCAACAUCAGAAAAGGAUUAGUUUUUAUUACUUCAGUUGGUGUACUACAACAAACCAAACAAGUAAAUUGUCACUAUAAAGGAAAGAUGAGAUUUUAGACAGUAACCAUAUUCAUAUUAGCCUCAUCCCCAUCAGUUUCUGCAUAACAAUGUGGGAAACAUGCUGGAAUGGCUUUGUGCCCAAAGAAGCACACAAAACUUAUUUUUUAUGAGCUCCCAAGUUCAUAGUAAACAGAUUUUAAAAUGAACAAGCUUCGUCAGCAAUGUCAAAUCUAUGGCAAUGGAUGUAUAACUAUUUCCACUCAUCAUCAAUCAGGUGAUACAGAACAUGAAAAAAAUUUAGGAACGUAUUGAAAAAAUAAGAAUACGUCACGUGUGUGGGUCUACAUAUACAUAUAUAUACCUAUGUACAUAAUAUAAGUAUUUGAUAUACAAAUCAGAAGCAAUACCUGCACGCCUUUGACUUGCAUCUGUUGUAUGAGUUCAGUAAAAACACCUGGAAUACAACCCAAAAAUAGCAACAAGUACCAACUUUUAAGGCAAUUAACAUAGGAUGCAUGCAUAUAAAUAGAUUACAAAUACAGUCGAUAAAUGGGUAGAAAUAUAAAGCAAGUAUAAGAACUAAAUGGAAGUAAGAAACAAGUUUAGUAUGAUAUACUCCUCUAUGAAACACUAAGAAACAUUUUGUCCACCCCAAGUUCCUUUUGGCUGCCUCACUGGAUGUCAAUACAGAUAAAGAGUUUAUUUUCAGGGAGAAUAAUAAAAAGCCAAAUUUUUGCUUCUACAAGUUAUACGAUGAAAUUCAUGUAAUAAAAAAACUAGUUUACUCAUUACCGUCACUGCAAUGGGGAAUCAGUUAGGCAAAGUAUGUUAAAAGAUCUGUGUCUAGCUAGAAGUUAACUUCUCAAGUUUUUCAUUCACAAAAUUGGCAAGGGGUUAUCUUGUCUGACUGGAUGUCAACACAAAUUGGCAAGGGAUUAUGUCAACACAAAAAUUAAGAGAUACUUACCAAUUUCCACUCGUCAUCAAUCACAGGAACAAAAAAUAACAAAAAAAUAAGAAACAAAACAGAACAAAAAAAUAAGAAACCAUCCCUUUUAGAAGUUUAGAAACAGAGAUGUAACAAAACCCCUUCCUAAACUCCAAACAAAGAUGAAAUAUAUAAUUUUCAAAUCGGAAAAGGAAAAGAAGUCAUCCAACUCGAAGCCCUUACCGAAUCGAAGUGUGGAACCAGCAAAAUCGGAGGGAUUGAGGGGGAUCGAACUGCUUGCUUCCGAUUCUAGGGCACGGCGAGCUUUGUAGGGCUUCAAUUAUAGGGCUUUUCCUUUCUGAAGCUCGGAAUUAUCGAAGGAACUCUGGGCGACUCUAAGUCGUGAAACAGAAACCAAUCGACUGAGUUUCUCUCUUGCAGCAAUCGCAUUUCUCGCGUUUCUGGAGGGAAGGGCUUCGCUUUCUCUCUCUUCGAAUGUUGCAACAAUGGAUUUCAAGGGAAUUGAUUUGGGCAGUGAGGAGUUUUCUAGCGAGAGCUCAGUUUCUUUGGU
rnacentral:lncRNA from 1 species